GCUACAUGUCUCACAGUUUCAGACGACAAAAGAAAAACAUUUUCUCUCACUCUUUCUGUUUUUCCUCUCUCAACUAUCACUAUUUCUCUCUCUAAUCGUAUAUCUUUCUUUCUUUCCUCAACAAUAAACUUCACAGACUGACAUGGAAACAGGAAGUAGAUCAAGCAAUAGAGUGCCUGAUUGGGAGUUUCAACUGCACUAUCUCACAUAGCAAACAAUGAGGCAAACAAUGUUGUAAAACAAGCUUUAUUCUUUGUAUUUGUCAAGAAUCAAUAUCAUUGAUUUAAAAGUAAAAAAAAUGUGUCUACCAAUUGCAUAUUGACCCUUUAAGCUAAAAUGAAUGACAAACACAACAGCAACUAAUGAGGGACUCUUCAUACACAGCAAAACAUCUCAAGGGCGGAUUGUGGAAAGACUCAGUUCUGUGCUGCUGAGCCAUCAGACUGUGACCCGGCCAUGGCUGGUUCAUGUUUCUUCGUCUCCACGCGGCAGUCCUCGGGACAGACCUUCUCCCUCCAGCUACGAGGAGAGUCCAGAGGCUACAUCGCUGUAGGCUUGUCCAAAAACACUACCCUGGGCGUUAAUGACACUACCUACGUGUGUGCCAACAACAACGGCACAAUGAAGUUCUUCACCACUCUCCUCCUAAAUAAAGUUCUGACUGUCACUGGCACGCUGCCUGUGGACUCUGUGAAGGGCUCUGUCAACGGUCAGAUCAUCCAGUGCACCUUCUCUGCUACUCUCCCAGAAGCUACCAGGAGCACCAGGAGCGCUGACACCAGCUUCGUCCUCUCCGUUUCCAACGGGACCGUAAUUAACGGAACCCUGGGUACUCCUAAGGUUGUCCUGGUCAGCAAUGCAGCCGUGGACCUGGCCAACCCCAACAGUACUGUGAUCAACUCUUUGAACGCCGCCCCCACUAAUUCUACUUCCUCCACUACUAAUACUUCCACCACUACUGCUACUUCCACCACUACUGCUACUUCCAACAUUGCUGCUACUCCCACCACUGCCUCCAGCCAUGCCUUGGGCCUGCAGCACGCCCUGUCUCAAGCUCUGCUGAUCCUGCUUGGUGUGCUAGGUAUGAUGAUGCUGUAA
rnacentral:lncRNA from 13 species